GUACACGCUGUGACUAGCAUAUCAAUAAGCGGAGGAAAAGAAACUAACAAGGAUUCCCCUAGUAACGGCGAGUGAAGCGGGAAGAGCUCAAAUUUGAAAUCUUAAAGGGUUUCCCUUUACGAAUUGUAGUUUAAAGAAGUGUUUUCUGUUGAGGUUUUGGUAAAAGUUCUUUGGAAUAGGACAUCAUAGAGGGUGAGAAUCCCGUAUUUGACCUUUACUUUCAACUUUGUGAUACACUUUCAAAGAGUCGGAUUGUUUGGGAAUGCAGUCCAAAAUGGGUGGUAAAUUUCAUCUAAAGCUAAAUAUUGGCGAGAGACCGAUAGCGAACAAGUACCGUGAGGGAAAGAUGAAAAGAACUUUGAAAAGAGAGUUAAACAGUACGUGAAAUUGUCAAAAGGGAAGCGUUUGACACCAGUGUUGUUUUUCUGAAAAUCAAUUAAAGAACUGUUUAUGCUAAGUUGUUUAGACUUUAUCAGCUAACUGUUUAGUUUUGAGCUUUUCUUUAAUGCACUUCUCAGUUAACAAGUCAACAUCAAUUUCUUUUGCUGUAAAAAAGCUUGAGGAAGGUGGCUUGAGAUUCGUCUUAAGUGUUUAUAGCCUCUUGCCUAUGCAGUCGGAGAGAUUGAGGUCUGCAGCGUAGAUCCUUCGGGGCUAAAUGCAUUUGUGCUAAGUUAUAGCAUUUUAUAGACAACUUGUUGACUAUGAUUUGUCUUGUAGCUUACUCGCUUAUGUUAUUUUACCUACGCUUAGGAUGUUGAAGAUGUAGCACAUCAU
rnacentral:rRNA from 1 species